UUAAAAGUCACCCUAUACGUAUCUUAUUCGAAUAAUCGAACGUUCCGCUCUAGGUGUUCCUGUUCUAUCUCGGGGUAGAUGACUAAACUAAGCCGUUACAUUAUUAGGAUUUAGAAAGCUGAGAGCUACUAAGAUGAGUUUUGACGCGAUUCUAAGGUAUUUUUCAUCCAACAGCUAUAGCCAUCAUCAUGUACCCCACAGUUCUUUUCCAAAUCGGGCUUCCUGGUAUUUAAACUUCUACAGGAAAACUAUGGGAUAUUUGAACCAAGAAUAUAAUUUUAUAAUUUCUCUUAUUGGUAUUACGUCGUUAAUUGUAGGUAUUAGGUAACUUGUUUUCAUCGAUU